CCGGCCGGCCCCCGGGCUGCUGCGGUGUGGUGAGGCGAGGGCGGGACGGGAGGCAGGCGGGCAGGCGGGUCGCAGCGGCCCGGUCAGCGCGAAGGGUGCCCGGCAGCCGCGCUUUUUAAAGCCGGCGUGCGCCGUGCGGCUUUUACUUGCUCCCCUGCGCACGGUAGGGUCCCGCCGGCUCCCUGGCCGCUCGGUCUAGCGGUCGCGGCCAUCCCCCCGGUGUGGUGAGGCGGUGGCCGGGCCUGUCCCGCCUCCGGUCUGCGUGCACAGCCCGUCUUCUCCUCCUGGGACUAGGAUCUCUGGCUUUGUCGAUCCCUCAUUCUUGCCUGUAAGCGUACCUGCAACCAGCAGCGCUUCCUUAGAGAAGCCUUCGCUGUUCAACAGCGGUUUAACCGAGUAGCGGUUACUGCCGACGUAUGCGUGCGUGCCGUCAGAGUGUUCCCAUCUUUAUUUAAGGGUGCUUAUCCCUCAUUUUGACCCAGUUUAGCUCCGGUUCCCAACGCUCAGAGUUUGUUAGUCUACCUUGCUUUUUCGUACCUGUAGUAUGUUGCCAGCAUGAGGAAAAAAAAGAGUUCUGCCGUUUCCAAGGACCAAAUAACAUCUGUUGAGAACUAGGUCACAAGAAAGGUCAGAAAAUUGAAUUUAAACCAUCGUCAGGCAAACCGGAAACAAAACUCCACUUCCUUAGUCAAAUAAAAUCCUUUAGGCCCAGCUCACUGGUCACAUAAUCUGGGUGCGCUGGCAAAGCCCUCCCCUUGGUUCUCUGUUUCUCAAUACAAACAACUUCGUGCUAUGUGGUUGACUAAUACCUGUAAUUCAGCAUCAGGAAAGGAUGGAAAAUGAGCCUAAUUAAUCCCUGGUAAUAUUUGCUGUGUAACAGGUGCAGAAUCUGACCUGGACUUUAGGUUGCCAACAGAUGCUGUUAAGGCACUGUUCAUGGUGUCUUCUGAAGCCAGAAGGGGAAAGGAGUCCACUCAGGAGCCCAACCAGAACUCUGAAAGUAAGGGGAAGGACUGAAAUCAAGAUGCCAGAGACACAUAUAUGGAAAGGGGUGAAGUGAGACCUUAUCUGGAGAGAGGAUCAUGUGGAGAAUGGAGGAAGAAAGAAAGUUUGGAGGUGUCAGAAGCUGCAAAGGUGCUCAGAUACGUCAGGGUGUAUGAGAAAGAGAAUAAAGGGGGAGAAAUGGAGAAAGGCAGGUGGUAUGGCAGGCUCAUGGGCUGUACAAUGGAGUAGGAAAAACAGGAGUGACAAGAGGAGCGGUUGCCAUGAAUAGCAGAGAAGCAAAUGUGAGAGAGCUGGAAUGGUCACCUGAAAAGCUGAAGACCUACAGAUGGCUUGCAGGCACAUGAAGACACAGGGAAUGGAGAGAGCAUGAGCAGCUGCAGAUUAGCAGGAUCAGGGGCUCCUGUGAGCUAGGAGAUCGAAGGUCUGAGCAGGUUUUCAGUGCUUUAUCCUUUGUUUACAUAGCAUUGUGGAAGGGAGAGGAGGCAGUGCUCGCUGCUUGGGAUGAGAGGACAGUCUUCCCGACAGUCCGGGAGCAUCUGCCUAGCAGCCCAGUCACAGUGAUCACUGCGUAGAUGAGGCAGUUUCUCCAAAAAAGCCACAGAAAGGUCUGAAAAUCUACAGACCCAAGAAAAACUAAAACUGAUAGUUGGAGCUGUAUAGUUGGAGGGAGGGUAAGGUACUUCUAGCAUAGGAGCUUGGAAAUAGUAUUCUUAUUUGCAUGCAGAUGACCAAGUGUGCGUACUCCUUAUUUAAUGAACUUAUUUCAAGUAAUAGACCUAGCAAUCAAAACAAAGUGGUUAAGAGUUAGGAUGGUUGGUUGAGUCACUGAGUAUGCUUAUGACCUCAGAGCUAAGAAUAAUCUGAGCUGUGGGCAUGAUCCUAAUUACCACCCUACUAUUAGAUAUGCAGUUAUGUAUACUUAUGAGCUAAAUUUUGGAACACAGACUGUUCCUCCGUUUUCAGUGAAGUCUAACUCCUAUAUAUAAAUAUAUUACUAAGUUGUGACAAAAUGAAAAAUAAGCGAAUUCUUCAGUGAAUAAAAUAUAUCUUAAAAUAUUUUCCCUGAAAAAAGUAAGAAAAAACCCCAGUCAUGUUUCAUCUAAAACAAAGAUUAUUGGCAAACCUGAGCAAAAAUUAGUCUUGCUGUGAAACAGUACAAAUAGCAGCAGAAGGUUAACAAUGGUGGCAUCUCCUUAAUGACUCAAAAAUCUUAAAGGCAGUAAGGCAGAAAGGAAACUUUUUACUAAGAACCCUGGAUUCAAGAUAUCCUGUUUGCCUACAGACAUUUUAUACCUUAUACACGGGAUGACUGCUUUCUAGAAGAACAUUUGGUAGGAAAGGGGGUCAUCCUGCAGGGCUGUCAUAAGGGCUGGUGAGGCUCUAGUUGCAACAUCUGCCCAUUCCUUAUGCCACCCACAUGAACAAGUCUAACAUGCUGGACUUCCUGCUGAUGUUCAGAGAUAUCCACGUUGCGUGUACAGUGAAUUCAGUCUCCUGGAGAGGUAGAAUCCCCACAUAUCUGCAGUAGGUUCAGGGCAUCUGACAUUGAGCGUCAUGUGGCUUGGCGGUAUAAUUGCAUGACUGCUAAAUCUAGUGCAAGACGGGCAACAGGAGCCAGGGUGAGAUGGCAAGCAGGCCUCCCUUUUCAGUCACAGCUUGCUGUGAGAUCAGUUUCACCGUAAUAUGAAACUGCACCAUGAGUCAGGAGCUUCUGAGCGCUCAUCAUGGCUCUGAUCUCAACAACAUUGGUGGCUGCAAGCAGCUUUUUUAACUGCAAGGUUGGUGUCUGUCAAGUAUGAAUAGUAGCAGCUAGGUACUUGAGAGCACUGUAAGGUUCAAUUAGAUAAUGUUUACCAAGUAUUAAUUAAGUAUUUUAAUUUUCAAAGUGCGGAUUAAAAAUGCCUGAAUGUUGAGUCAUCAUUCUAGUUGUACACUGUCACAUGUCCCAAAGGUUUAUUCAUCCAAUAAACAUCAGGGCAGAGGUUUAUUUAUCCAGAAAUCAAGACAGCACAGCAUGUGGCCCCAGUGUCUUACCGAAACCUGUUAUCAUGAUGCAAUUAUUUAUUUUUGAGGAGAGAAGCUUUGAUUUGAAAGAAUUGUUUUGUCUCCUGCAGAUACAAUCUGUCGUGAUUCAGUUUUGCCUAUAUAAUAUAUAUAUAUUUGCUGUGUCAAGGAGCGACAUCUGACUGAAUGUGACUUUAUUACUAAUUCUGUAUUAGUUUUCCUCUGUUGUAAGAGAAAGACAUUGCAGAGAUUGCAUUUGGUAUUCAGAAAACCUGUUUAGUAAUUGCCUUGAAAACAAGGGGCAUGCCUAGCUUCAACCAAGUUACUGACUAUUAAUUACUGUGAUUAAAGGCUGCAGUCCAGCAAUGGUGGGGGAUCUAGGUAGCUCCUCAGCAUUCAUGUGGCAAUAAUCUGCCUGGGUAUUAGGUUGAGACACUAAAAAGUUUAAGGAGACUCAGGCCUCUGUUGGGAUUAAAAGACAUGCAGUAUGGACUGCAGGGCCAGAAAGUUGAUGUCUUAAAAGGCAGGCACAUCCACAUGAGAUAAACUGAUAGACCAUAUCUGCCACUGGAAAUUUUCAGGAAUACGAAGCAUCUCUGUGGUUCAGCAUGGGUCAGAUUUAGUUUGGCUGAAAUACUGUGUAUUUCAAAAUAGACUCAGGCCUCUCUGCUACAUACAUCUGCCUCCUUUACUGAGUAAGUACUCUGUUGCGGUAAGGGGUUCAGCUGGUCCACUGUCAUGAGUGUAUUUUGUAUUUUGUCCUUUUACUCAAAAGCAUAACUGGCAAAUCUUUGUACAAUGUGUUUCUCUCAGGUCUCCAUUACAUGAAUAAACAAAAUUGCUUGUUACCAAA